rnacentral:tRNA from 1 species
GGCUCCAUAGCUCAGUUGUUUAGAGCGCUGCUCUCAUGAGGCAGAGGUCCUGAGUUAGAAUCUCAGUGGAGCCA